AUGGAGCGCCAUGCCACCCUGAACGAGCCCGAUCCCAUCUGAUCUCAGAAGCUAAGCAGGUUCGGGUCCGGUUAGUACUUGGAUGGGAGACCACCUAGGAAGACCAGGUGCUGUAGGUA
rnacentral:rRNA from 1 species